rnacentral:lncRNA from 1 species
GGGAGGGAGGGCCGGGUCAGCCUGCCUGAGGAUUGCAGUAGCCAGUGAAGGCAGACAAGCUGGAGAAGUGCUCAGCUGGGACGCUGGGACAAAGAACCUUGUGUUGAUGGCUGCUCUGGGUGGGGGAGGGCAUUCUCUGCUGGGCCAUGUGGGACUUGGGAGCCUGUGCCUGGGAGGUCAUUUGCCCUGGAGCCCCAUCUCCCACGCUAGCUGUCCUCAACACAUCCUCUUUCUUUCUGCCUCUGAUCCUGAAUCCACAAGCCUCCCUUGCUACUCUUCUCCCAUCCUUCCCUCUCGCCCUCCAGGGCCUCUGAGUUCCCACGAGCGUGUCUGUGGGAAACCAUGGGGCCAGGCUUGCACGAGGUACCUGCCCUUCCCCUCCCCUGCUGGGCCUCCCCAGUCCUGCCAGGCCUGAGAUGUUUAAUUUAGAGGAUUCAGUGUUUCCUUGGGGAUUGAUAUUGACAGAACUCACCAGCAGCUGCUGACUUCAUACUUCCACGUGGGUCAGCUGGAGACCUUUGGGGCAUGACCUAGGGAAUAUGAGAGGGGAGUGAACGGUCCCUGCACCCUUGGCCCUGAUGGUGUCUCCUAGCCUCCCUUCAGCUGAGGUUUCAUGGUGGGAGACAGGAGUGUGGCUGGGGUGGAGGGUUGAGCCUGGCCCUGUGACCCUUGCGUGCUAUAGUUCCAGCUCCAGGCCAGUGGUUCUGAGCAGCCAUGGUCAGAAGCAAGUAAGUUGGAUUCAGGGCCUGGCCUGAGGGAGCUGUGCCCCGGUGCUUUUAAGGCUGCCGUUUUCUCAGACAGCCUGUGUCCUGAUGCCAGGAGAAGCAGCAGUGGUUUUAGUCAGAUCCCUGGAGCAAGGAUGUGGAAGACGUAGAGGACUUGGGGUGUAGGAAAGCUGGGAUUGUCCGGAGGGACAUGGCCGAGUUGGGCCAGUGUCCGAGGCGGGUUCAGCAGCCCCUGGGGCUGGCUCUCCCUCCAUUUGUG